rnacentral:ncRNA from 2 species
UACGUAGGUGGCAAGCGUUGUCCGGAUUUACUGGGCGUAAAGCGUAUGCAGGCGGAUCAUUAAGUAGGAAGUGAAAGGUUGGAGCUCAACUCCGACACUGCUCCCUAUACUGGUGGUCUUGAGUACCGGAGAGGAAGAGGGAACGACACGUGUAGCGGUGAAAUGCGUUGAGAUGUGUCGGAACACCAAUGGCGAAAGCACUCUUCUGGACGGAAACUGACGCUGAGAUACGAAAGCUAAGGUAGCGAACAGG